rnacentral:snoRNA from 1 species
UGGCAACAAUGAUGACAGGUUUUUCCCACUGUAUGUAAAGCAUUUUAUUGCUACAUGGAGACAAGAGUCCCUCUAAACUGACGUUGCCA